CUCCGGUUGAUCCCUGCGGGACUAAACUGCUAUCGGAAUAGGACUAAGCCAUGCGAGUUUGCCAAGCAGAGCACGCUAGCUUGGUGGCGAACGGCUCAGUAACACGUAGUCAACCUGACCUCGGGACGGGAACAAUCUCGGGAAACUGAGGCUAAUGCCCGAUAGAUCAAGAUUCCUGGAAUGGGUUUUGGUCCAAAUGUGGUUACAGCAUCUUUGUGACAUUACGCCCGAGGAUGGGACUGCGGCCGAUCAGGCUGUUGGUGGGGUAAAGGCCCACCAAACCAGUAACCGGUACGGGCUUUGAGAGAAGGAGCCCGGAGAUGGACACUGAGACAAGGGUCCAGGUCCUACGGGGCGCAGCAGGCGCGAAACCUUCGCAAUGCGCGAAAGCGCGACGAGGUUAUUCCGAGUGAUUUCCGCUGAGGAAAUCUUUUCUCAGAUCUAAAAAGUCUGGGGAAUAAGGGGAGGGCAAGUCUGGUGUCAGCCGCCGCGGUAAUACCAGCUCCUCGAGUGGUUAGGGCGUUUAUUGGGCCUAAAGCAUCCGUAGCCGGCUCAGUAGGUCUUCUGUUAAAUCCAACGGCUCAACCGUUGGUCUGCAGGAGAUACCGCUGGGCUAGGAGGCGGGAGAGGCGGACGGUACUCCGAGGGUAGGGGUAAAAUCCUUUGAUCCCCGGAAGACCACCAGUGGCGAAGGCGGUCCGCCAGAACGCGCUCGACGGUGAGGGAUGAAAGCUGGGGGAGCGAACCGGAUUAGAUACCCGGGUAGUCCCAGCCGUAAACGAUGCGAGCUAGGUGACACAAGGCCUUAGGGGCAUUGUGGUGCCGCAGGGAAGCCGUUAAGCUCGCCGCCUGGGGAGUACGGUCGCAAGACUGAAACUUAAAGGAAUUGGCGGGGGAGCA
rnacentral:rRNA from 1 species